AUUGAACGCUGGCGGCAUGCUUUACACAUGCAAGUCGAACGGUAACAGGUUAAGCUGACGAGUGGCGAACGGGUGAGUAAUGCAUCGGAACGGGCCCGAUCGUGGGGGAUAACGCAGCGAAAGCUGCGCUAAUACCGAAUACGAUCUGAGGAUGAAAGCGGGGGACCGUAAGGCCUCGCGCGAUCGGAGCGGCCGAUGUCGGAUUAGGUAGUUGGUGGGGUAAAGGCCCACCAAGCCGACGAUCUGUAGCUGGUCUGAGAGGACGACCAGCCACACUGGGACUGAGACACGGCCCAGACUCCUACGGGAGGCAGCAGUGGGGAAUUUUGGACAAUGGGCGAAAGCCUGAUCCAGCAAUGCCGCGUGCAGGAAGAAGGCCUUCGGGUUGUAAACUGCUUUUGUACGGAGCGAAAAGGUCCUUUCUAAUACAAGGGGCUCAAGACGGUACCGUAAGAAUAAGCACCGGCUAACUACGUGCCAGCCGCCGCCGUAA
rnacentral:rRNA from 1 species